UGAUUUGUCCUGGAAAAAGUAUAAAAUUGUGUGUUUUAUCCCAAAAAUCAACUUUAAAUUGAUUUCGGGAUUGUGUGAUGAUGGCUGAACAAAUCAUCGAUAAUGUCCAAGCUAUGGACACAGCAGUAACUGUACCACAGUUUGAGGGUACCGUUACAAAAGAUGACGCGGAAAAUAAAGAUGUAUGUGUGUAUGCGAGAAAAAAAAGGGUGUUCGAUGCUGUUGAUGUAUGCGAAGGCGGAGGUGAGGUUGGUGAGAGCAGAAGGGGCAAAAAUGACAAAGCAAAUUCCAACACAGAGGAUUUGUGCAAAAACCAAAAGAAAAGGCGCGUGAAUGAAGAGACGUUGCUGUACACGGAAAAUCAUAAGGGUAUUAAGGCAAAAGAAUUGGAAAAAAUUAAGCAAGCAGACGCAAUUGGUGCAACUUUAUACAAAAUUACCUUUGAGACAAUGGAAGCGGCAAAUAUGUUCAUUUGCAAUGAAGAAAUAAAGAAACUGAAUAUGCGGGUUUUUAUUCCGAAAAAUUUUUUCCAGACUUUCGGAAUUUUAAGAAAUAUACCUGUCUCAUAUUCCGAAGAUGAACUCCUCAAAGGGAUUGUGUCGGAUAUGAAGGUAGCCUCUGUGACUAGGUUCACAAGGAAAGAUGUUAGUACUGAAUCAGGUUUUAGACCCACUGAGACAAUCAAGGUCGGUUUCUACGGGGAUAACCACCCCUCAUGGGUAGUGUUCAAUCACGUUGUUCUUGUGGUGGACACUUAUUAUCCAGCCAUCAGGCAAUGUUUCAACUGCGGGCGCUUGGGACAUACAAAGCUUGGCUGCAGAUCUAAUCCCAGAUGCCGGAAAUGCGGUAAUGAAGAUUGCAAUAUGAAUUGUACCAUCAGAAGCUGUAUUUUGUGUAAAGGAUCUGAUCACGUAUGUGAUGAAAGGGAUAAAUGUCCAGUCUGGGCAAAAGAAAUUGAAAUCAACAAAAUAAUGACUCGAAAAAAGAUGUCCAAAAAAGAAGUUUUAAAUUCUUAUAAACUCCAAAACAGAUUUGACCUAUCAUUUGACGAAGCAAACUUUCUCUCUCUCCCGGCAGGCAGUGGUAGUUGUGUGGGAAGGGAAGAAAGUCCAAAAAUUAAAACAAUUGAUGACGACGUUAAUGAGGUGUUGACACCAUAUACAUACAACUCUGUGGCAAAAAAACCCAAAAAACCGUACAUCCAUAGGCCUGGGGUCAAAAUUGGGAAACGGUUUUUUGAGGAACCAUCACCAUCAGGCCCUGUUUAUGUAAAAGAGGACCAAAAACUUUCUGAACUGGAAAAAAUUACCAAAGAACUUCUCAAAUUUAUGUACGAUUUUUUCAAAAAGGAUGAAAAUCAAGUGGCAGUUGAUGCUAUUCAACAUUUUCAACAAAGGAUUCAAAAAUGCGGAGUAACAUUUGAAGAAGAUAAGAGAUGCAGAAACAAACUAAUCAAUUACAAUCUCGUGCAAAAAUUCAGACCUGAUGGCUAUGGAGGAGUGGCCAUAGGAGUAAGAAAGAAAAUAAAUAUAUCAAUAAUAGAAUAUGAUACUGAUUAUGACAUCCUGAUAAUCAAAACCUCAAACCUACAGAGAAAUGUCGUCAUCGUCUCGGUGUACUUUCCACCAACAACCUCAAAUACUUGUUUUAUUGAGGAAGUUUCCAAAUUGCUUCUCUUCUUGGAAAACUUUCAGAAUGUAAUAUUAUGUGGCGAUUUCAAUGCCCGCAAUGAAGCCUGGGGAGAUAAUCUCACUUCCAUUAAAGGCAGGGAACUUCGUAUGUUGAUUACUGAAGCUGGCUUUCUAUGUCUCAAUAACGGUAAAAAAACCUUUAAAGGUGGGUCCAACUCCCAGGGAUCAGUUCCUGACCUAACUUUUCUCAGCAACGUGUCUGGGGGUAACUGGAAUGUUCUAGAUGGACAUUUUGGGGGCAGCCGUCAUCUACCAAUUACCUUUGAGAUUAAAGCGGAAAAGCCAAAAGGCCAGAACUUCUUACACAAAGCAAAAUUAAUGAAAGCACUGGGUGAGUUAGAGCUAGAACCUGACAUGCUAGCUAUAGAGGAUGCAAUAAGCUCAGAAAUAAAAGCUGCAUCUAACAAUCUAAGUGCCAACAGAUCACCCAAGUAUUGGUGGAAUGAUUCCUUGAGUGUUGCUUACCGAAAUCAACUUGCAGCUUUAAAGAAAGCAAGGAAAUAUCCUAAUUAUCAAAACCUAUCUAAAGCUAGUCAGGAGGUAGAGAAUUGGAAAAUGAAGGUCAAAACGGCAAAAAAUGACAGUUUUCUUUCCAAAAUCAAUGAACUUAACAGAAUUGCAAAUCCAAGAGAAGCUUGGAAAUUUGUUAACAAUGUAAGGAACAGAGAGUCUGCGGAGGUUAGACCAUGGAAUAAUGACCGGAGCAGUCACUUUCUUCAGUAUCUCAAAGACCAAGUACCUGGUGAUUUGCUAGAAGUGCCUAGCUAUAGUGAUCAACACAAUUUCCAUGACAAAAUCAUUUUUGACUUUGAUCACUUUGAGAAAAUAUUAUCGGAAAAGAAAAAAGGGUCUGCCGGAGGGCAUGACAAAAUAACAUACGAAAUGAUCAAGGCGCUACCCGGCAUUUCUAAAAGAGCUAUUCUGACAGCUCUAUAUAAUGCCUUUUUAGAGAACUCAAUCAAUGACAACUGGAGGAUUAUUAAAAUAGUCCCAAUUCCAAAACCUAACAAGGAUUUAACCGACAUGUCAAAUUAUCGCCCAAUAUCUCUCAUUUCUGUCUUUAUGAAAGUCAUCAAUCUAAUGCUUAAAGAUAAGCUAGUACAAUUCAUUGAUGAUAAGGAAGUUAUUCCAGCGAGAUCUUUUGCAUAUAGGAAAAGUAGGUCUACAUCUACAUGCUUAAAUGAAUUCCUUCACCGCGUUGCACUGCUAAAGGCCAACAACUAUAAAGUACUAGUUCUGUCGUUGGAUAUAAAUAAUGCCUACAACUGUGUGAGAGUGGAUAUUCUCGGGCAAAUCUUGAGAAAGCUCAACUUCAACGUAUCAAUUGUGAAUUGGAUAAUAAACUUUCUAUCAAAAAGGAUUCUGAGACUGGGUGACAAAGAAGUUGUGGUGAAAAACGGCUUACCACAAGGAAGCUGUCUAUCUCCUCUGCUCUUUAACAUCUACACAGCAAAUCUUCAUAAACUGGAAGAUAAUAAAACAUUAAUUUUUCAAUAUGCAGACGACUUCCUUUUGAUGGUCUUUGAUCACGAUUUUGACAUGGCUUUACAACACCUACAAACUAAGGCAGUGGCUUUUCAAAGGAAAUGCGGUAAUAUAAAUUUAUCCUUCAAUCCAGAAAAGUCGAAGACGAUUUAUUUUGCUAAAAAUAGUACCAAACAAAUUCUACUAAAUGUAGAUGGAUGCAGAAUAGAACAGGUGAAAAAAAUGAAAUUUUUGGGCAGAAUUAUCUCAAAUUCCUUAUCGGUCAAAGAUCACUAUUCACAUAUCAAGGAUCCAGUAAGCAACAGAACCAGACUGCUCAAAUGCCUUAACCCCCCUAAAGGAGGCCUACAUCCAAAAGUGUCUCUGAAUUUAUACAAAAGCCUUGUGAGAGCGAAAGUAGACUAUGGUAGAACUACGACUGCCAAUUCACCAAAAUAUGUCAAUAACAAUAUCGAAAGACUUCAAAAUGAGAUGAUAAGAAGAUCCCUGGGGGUUAGUAGAUCGACACCUAAUCACGUUAUAUAUGCCCUAGCUGGAGAAUUGCCUCCUAAGUAUAGAGCCAAACUCCUUACCACAAAGGAGAUACUUAAGAUCAAGCUGGAAAAUAAUGACUUAUCUGACAUAAUUGAAAACAACCCUCUCGUCAAAUCGAGCUACAGCGUCAUCUAUCAUCAAUUUGAGCACAUCUUUAGAAAAAUCAAGAUUACUUCAUACAAAAAUCAAAGAAAUCUAACGGUAAGAACUAACCUAUUACCAUCCACGAAAAACAUUACGCCUAAUGAGGUCAUUUUCUCUGCCUUUAAUUGCGAGCUGUCUUUUUAUAAAAGUAAUCAAUUUUGUAUUUUUGCAACAGAUGCCUCGGUAAACAUUGAGUCCACUGGAUGCGGGGUUUACAAUGCAACAAAAGACUUCAAAUUCCUUUUCAAAAUUGACUUCAUGGCCUCGUCAAUGUUUGGAGAACUUUUUGCCAUAAAAAAGGCUCUGGAAAUUGCGACUGAGGACGGUUAUAACAGAUGUGUUAUUUUCACAGAUAGCCUUACAGCGUGCAAGGCUUUAAAUUCAGCUGAUUCGACAAAUUAUCUGGUUGCUGAAUGUCACAAUAUUUUGGAAAGAUCCUCUAUUGAAAAAUGUCACAUUGUCUGGAUCCCUGCGCACAGAGGCAUUAGAAUCAACGAGGAGGUUGACUUGCUAGCCAAACAGGCCUCUCUAGUUGGUGCUCCUGUAGAUGUAUUUUUAACACCUGAAGAGGCGUAUUCCAGAAUCGAAAAUCUGGUGAAAGACGACUGGAAUGAAGAAUUUAUAAGACUAUCCGAAUCAAAAGGCAGUCACUUCUUUCAGAUUAUAAACAACAUAUAUGAAAAGCCAUGGUUUUCAAAAAUGAUUUUUGAGCCUAGCAAUACUAAGCUAAUAAACAGACUGAUUACCGGCCAUACCAGUGACAAAAAGUAUUUACACCGGAUAGGAGCUGCAGACUCGAAUUUGUGCGAGACAUGCGCAGUGCUGGAAACCGCUCACCACUUGAUUUUUGAUUGCGUAAGAUUCAACAACAUAAGGAAAAAAUAUCCCCUCCUGUUCCCUAAAUACCAUGGACUAAUCCCUUUACUGCAAUCCAAAGACCACAACCUAUACAACCUUCUCCUAAUGUUCCUGAAAGAAACCAAAAUCAGUUUAUGAACACUUUCUAUCACCUGUGAUAAACAAAGCUGUGAUAUUAGUUUUAAGUUUUGUUUUUUUUUUUUCCUUCUUUUUUUUUUCUUUCUUAUUUUUAAUGGAUGUUGACUAAUUGAUAUUAUCCCAUCCCAUUCCCCACUUUUGGCCCUUUAUUUUCCUUAUGCAAUUUGCAGACAGGUAUUCUAACCUUUGGAACACAACUGGACUCACAAUUGGGAUAUUCCUGAUCGCUUGGACUUCAUAGCUGCUGAAUGGGCACAUUUUGUCUUUUUACGUCUGUGGUGUCCUGCAUCUGUCACGCAAGUAAAACUACCUCUCAACCAGGUGUCGUGAGUUAAAAACCUUUUCAUAUUAAUAUUACAAUAUCAAAUAAGCAAACAAAAUUGAACUACAAUUCGACAUUUGUACUUAUGUACUAUCGUUUUCUUUUUACACCAUUUUUAUACUGUAUUUGCAGUAAUCGGAAAAUUUAUAUUGGCAAUCCAUUUUGUAACAAACGCUCAUUGGUCUGUAAUCGUUUUCAAGAGUGGCCAACCAUUUUGGAAAAUAAAAGCAUUGGACUGGACUUUGCAAUCCAUGUUGGGAUAAACGCUGAUUGGAUUGUAAUCGAUUUCACUAGUGACCAACCAGUUUGGAAAAUAAACUCUUUGGAGUGGAGUAAUUUGGCAAAUCAUUUUGAAAAAUAAACUUAUUGGACUUGA